UCAUAAGGUUUUUUAUGAUCACGAGUUUAUCGUGUUGGAAAAGUUGAUCGGCUGAUAUAUGUACUUUAAACCUAAUCAAAAAGCAAUUUAAUUAGUUUCAUCCUAUCUUGCGCAGCCUGUUUAUCUUCAACAAUAUAGUUGGUAAAUAAAUACAAGCAAAUAUCAGGUACGACGCUAUGAAUUAUUUGACAUUUGUCAUUUUUGUUUUGGCUUUUUCUCGUUUUUGUUUACCUCAUCUGUUCACAAUCGUUAAACAAGAUAAUGAAAAAGCAGGCACAACACUCGACCCUUGCCUAUGCACAGACGGUACUCAAAGAGUCGGUGUAAUACGCAUGUUUGCUUGUUAUACCUCAGAAAAGACUUGUGGACCUGGGAAAAUACCUUUAACUCUUUGCUGCAUCUUAGUGUAACGCACUUUCAACAUUGACUGAUCUUCAAUCGAACCAGUAUAUAAAUCACAAUGAACUGUAGGCUUCAAUUAUUGUUUAAUGGUUGAAUCAUGUUAAAUUAAUUCAUUUGAAAUCAAAGACAAUCUGAGUUUAGUUUAUCUUGAAAAUUACAAUGUAGUUCAAAAAUACUUUGCAAUAAUGAAAGUAAACGUUUAGCCUGCUCGCAGCCUAAGUGACGAAAUUGAGGCUGCGAGCAGGCUAGUAAUUAGUAAA